UACGUAGGUGGCAAGCGUUGUCCGGAUUUACUGGGCGUAAAGAGCGCGCAGGCGGUCGUUCAAGUCGCGUGUGAAAGCCCCCGGCUCAACUGGGGAGGGUCACGCGAUACUGAUCGACUCGAAGGCAGGAGAGGGAAGCGGAAUUCCCGGUGUAGUGGUGAAAUGCGUAGAUAUCGGGAGGAACACCAGUGGCGAAGGCGGCUUCCUGGCCUGUUCUUGACGCUGAGGCGCGAAAGCUAGGGUAGCAAACGGG
rnacentral:rRNA from 1 species